AUUGAACGCUGGCGGCAGGCCUAACACAUGCAAGUCGAGCGGAUGAAGGGAGCUUGCUCCUGGAUUCAGCGGCGGACGGGUGAGUAAUGCCUAGGAAUCUGCCUGGUAGUGGGGGAUAACGUCCGGAAACGGGCGCUAAUACCGCAUACGUCCUGAGGGAGAAAGUGGGGGAUCUUCGGACCUCACGCUAUCAGAUGAGCCUAGGUCGGAUUAGCUAGUUGGUGGGGUAAAGGCCUACCAAGGCGACGAUCCGUAACUGGUCUGAGAGGAUGAUCAGUCACACUGGAACUGAGACGCGGUCCAGACUCCUACGGGAGGCAGCAGUGGGGAAUAUUGGACAGUGGGCGAAAGCCUGAUCCAGCCAUGCCGCGUGUGUGAAGAAGGUCUUCGGAUUGUAAAGCACUUUAAGUUGGGAGGAAGGGCAGUAAGUUGUGACCUUGCUGUUUUGACGUUACCGGCAGAAUAAGCACCGGCUAACUUCGUG
rnacentral:rRNA from 1 species